rnacentral:rRNA from 1 species
AUAUUACUAAGCGGAGGAAAAGAAAUUAACAAAGAUUGCCUUAGUAAGGGCGACUGAACCGGCAAGAGCUCGAAAUUGGAAUCGGGGAUUCAAAGAAUCUUCGAAUUGUAAUCAAGUCCGCCGAAAUACGAGAGAUCUCUCAAUCACGUCGAAACGUGUGCCAGAGAGGGUGAAAGUCCCGUACAGAGUUCUCUCGAAACAGGGGGAUUCCACAAGAGUCGGGUUGCUUGGAACUGCAGCCCUAAGUGGGAGAUAUGAAUCUUCCAAAGCUAAAUAUGGAUGGGAGACCGAUAGCGAACAAGUACUGUGAAGGAAAGAUGAAAAGGACUUUGAAAAGAGAGUGAAAAGAUCUGAAAUCGUUGAGAAGGAAGCGGUAAAAACUGAUGGUCGUACUGACAGAUAUCGCGGCCACAAGCUGCGUAGUUCUGACCAGAGCGACGGGCAAAAUCAAGUCGAACACGCCAAAAAAGGCUUAGCCGAUUAGGGCGUGAACGGCUUGAGGGACUAAUGUGAUUUUGCCAAAAUGGUUUUUACUGU